rnacentral:lncRNA from 1 species
AUAAAACAGUGCUCAGAGGAAAAUUCAUUGCCCUAAAAUUUAUGUAUUAAAAAAUAAGAUAAAUGUCAUAUAACUCAAAAUAUUAGGAAAAGGAAUCUUUUAAAGGCAGGCUAAAAGAAUCAAGAAAAAUUAAUUAGAAAAAUGAGGAAACAAAGCUAAUUUUUAAAAUAUGUAGUAAAAUAUGUAACAUUUUAGCUAACAUUACAAGAGAAGACAAACACAAAAUAAGAAUUACCAAGUAUUGAAUAGGUAAGAGUCAUAAAAUAUUCUUUGCUCAACUGUAUGCAAACAAUUUAAAAACUUGGAUUAAAUGGAUAAUUUUCCAGGAAGGUAUAGUUUGCCAAAAAAUGACAUCAAAAGAAAUCUAAUAUAACAAUUGUCAUAGAAGAAAUGAAGUAAGUAUUUCAAUUAGCAUGACAGACUAAAUACUUUUAAAGACCCAAUGAAAACAAAGAAAUGCAUUUGGAGAAUUAACAGAAACUUUUUGUAACACCAAUUUUUUAUUUUACAUUUUAAAGCAUGGAAUGGAAUUUAUUGUAAAGACGUGUAUUUUAUAGAAUCCAAGCAAAAGCUCACCAGCCAGAGAUAAAGUGAGGCCAGCUCAGGGAAUGUGAGCAGUGGCGAUUUAUUCCCUCUGGUGUUCCAUGUUAGCCUGACACAGAGCCCCCUCUUCACAUUCUCAGGGGCUCUUGAUCCAAAACCUUUUUUAAAAAAAAUAAUUUUAGACUUAACAGAAAAUCUGCAAAAAUAGAUUUCCUGUGUGCCCUUCUCUCAGCUUCUUCUAAUGUUAACUUACAUACCAAUGGUACAAUUAUUGAAACUAGGAAAUUAACAUUGGCACAAUCCUAUUAACUACAUACUUUAUUUGAAUUGUAGCUGUUUUCCCAGUAAUGUUGUUUUUCUGGUUCGGUAUUCAAUCCAGGAUCCAUAUGUACUUGGGUCUUUCUGGGUUUUCUGUUCCACUGGUCUACUUGUGCAUGGUACCACACUGUUUUAAUUAUAGAGACUUUAUAGUAUGUUUUAACAACUGGCAAGGCUAGUCCCCCUUAUAAUUUUUCCUAUUGUGCUUCUGGCUAUUCAUACAUGUUUGUUUUUCCAUGUGAACUUUAGUAUCAACUUGUCUAAAUUCAUUUUUUAAGGUACAUUGGUAUUUUAUUGAUAUUAUAUGAUAUUAACUGAUUUAGAGAGAACUAACAUCUUUAAAAUGUGGUGUCAUCCUAUCCAAGAAUAGGAGAUGUAUUUCCAUUUAUUCAAGUCUAUUUUGUGCCUUUUAGCAGUGUUUUAAAAUUAUCCUUGUGUAGGUUUUGUGCAUUUCUUGCUAAGCUUAUCCCUAAGUAUUUAAUUUAUUUGCUAGUA